rnacentral:rRNA from 1 species
UGAGGAAUAUUGGUCAAUGGGCGCAAGCCUGAACCAGCCAUCCCGCGUGCAGGAAGACGGCGCUAUGCGUUGUAAACUGCUUUUCCAGGGGGAGAAACUUGCGCACGUGUUGCGCAAUUGACGGUACCCUGGGAAUAAGCAUCGGCUAACUCCGUGCCAGCAGCCGCGGUAAUACGGAGGAUGCGAGCGUUAUCCGGAUUCAUUGGGUUUAAAGGGUGCGUAGGCGGACUAUUAAGUCAGUGGUGAAAUCCUGCAGCUUAACUGCAGAACUGCCAUUGAUACUGAUAGCCUUGAGUUUGGUUAAGGUAGGCGGAAUGUGUAAUGUAGCGGUGAAAUGCUUAGAUAUUACACAGAACACCAAUUGCGUAGGCAGCUUACUGAGCCGACACUGACGCUGAGGCACGAAAGCGUGGGGAUCGAACA